rnacentral:misc_RNA from 1 species
AAUGAAUUUGGGCAAAAGGGGAAAGGAGUGAUGAAUCAGAGACAAAGAGGAGGGGUUCGUCGAAGAAGGCGUAAAACAGCUGUUGAUUAUGGGAGAUCUUCGUCAGUUUCAUCAUAUGAUCCGCAAUAUGAAGACUUCCCACUAGGUCCUCCAUCUCCUCCUAGUACUAAUAAAGAAGAUGGUGGCCACCCUGCACUGGUUAUGAGAUUAGGCCAGAGAGACAGCUUUGAACUAACUGGAUCUUCUGAUGAAAUUGAGCACAUUGAAAAGAACGUCGCAUCCAUUGAAGAGCUGAGACAUAAUGGGGAACCAGUUUCCAGCUUCCAUGAGGGGAACAGAAUAAGACUCUUGGAACGAGCCUUAGAGCACGAACGAGAAGCUCGAGAUGCUCUUUGCAUUGAGCUGGAGAAGGAAAGAAAUGCUGCCGCGAGUGCUGCAGAUGAGGCUAUGGCCAUGAUCUUACGUCUACAAGAGGAGAAGGCAGCUAUUGAAAUGGACGCCCGGCAAUAUCAGAGAUUAAUUGAAGAGAAAUCUGCUUUUGAAGCAGAGGAAAUGAACAUUCUAAUGGAGAUCCUGAUGAGGACAGAGAGGGAGAAACACUUUUUGGAGAAGGAACUUGAAGUAUAUAGGCAGAUGACUUAUCUCGGAAAUGAAGAACCAACAGGUGAUAGUGG